UACGAAGGGUGCAAGCGUUACUCGGAAUUACUGGGCGUAAAGGGUGCGUAGGUGGUUUUUUAAGUCCGUUGUGAAAGCCAUGGGCUCAACCUGGGAAUGGCAGUGGAUACUGGAAAGCUAGAGUGCGGUAGAGGGUAGUGGAAUUCCCGGUGUAGCAGUGAAAUGCGUAGAGAUCGGGAGGAACACCAGUGGCGAAGGCGGGUCUCUGGGCCGAUACUGACGCUGAGGAGCGAAAGCGUGGGGAGCGAACAGG
rnacentral:rRNA from 1 species